UACGUAGGGGGCAAGCGUUGUCCGGAAUCAUUGGGCGUAAAGCGCGCGUAGGCGGCCCGGUAAGUCCGCUGUAAAAGUCCAGGGCUCAACCCUGGAAAGCCGGUGGAUACUGUCGGGCUAGAGUCCGGAAGAGGCGAGUGGAAUUCCUGGUGUAGCGGUGGAAAUGCGCAGAUAUCAGGAGGAACACCGGUAGCGGAAGGCGGAUCUCUGGGCCUUGCCUGACGCUGAGGCGCGAAAGCUAGGGGAGCGAACAGG
rnacentral:rRNA from 1 species